AGCUCCAAUAGCGUAUAUUAAAGUUGUUGCGGUUAAAAAGCUCGUAGUUGGAUUUCUGUUGAAGUCAGCCGGUGCACACCUCGUGUGUUAUUUGGCCUGGCUUUGGCAUCCUCUGGGGGAACGUUUCUGGACUUAAUUGGACAGGGCGAGAUUCCAGACUUUUACUUUGAGGAAAUUAGAGUGUUUCAAGCAGGCACACGCCUUGAAUACAUUAGCAUGGAAUAAUAAGAUAGGACCUUGGUUCUAUUUUGUUGGUUUCUAGAGCUGAGGUAAUGAUUAAUAGGGAUAGUUGGGGGCAUUCGUAUUUAACUGUCAGAGGUGAAAUUCUUGGAUUUGUUA
rnacentral:rRNA from 1 species